rnacentral:lncRNA from 1 species
GUCGUGGAGAUUGCUUGCGCUGGGGUGCCACACUUAGGCUGAGCUGCAGGUUUUCGCACAGUCGCGAGUUAACCUCUGCUUGCUCCAGAGGCCUCGUCCUAAUCCACCUCGGCUGACGGCGCGGGAUCCCUGGCUCCGCGAGAGAUAGGGUUUCACCAUGUUGGUCAGACUUGUCUCGAACUCCUGACCUUGUGAUCCGCCCACUUCGGCCUCCCAAAGUGC